UAGAGAGUGGUAUAGUGGGAGUACGGAGGGUUUUGAUCUCUCAGGUGCAGGUUCAAUUCCUGUCUCUCUAAA
rnacentral:tRNA from 1 species